AGGGCGGAUGUGGGCUUUGGAUGAUUUAGUAAGGCUUUAUCAUAGACACGCGGUCUGCGGAAGAUAGAGCGUCGCCGGAUUCUCGGCUUCGCGGGCAAGGAUGGAAGCGCAGGAGAGCCUUAAUGGAUCUCGUGCCUGCUGUUGUAGAGGCUGUAGCUGUUGCUCGACCGGAGAGCACCUCGCUCGUGGUACAGAGGGCUGUGAGGCAAAUCUCUCGUAGAGUUACUUCCCUUUUCCAAAUAAAGGAGUACACUCAGUUCAGAGAGUCUCAGUUCCACUGCUGGAGUGUAUGGCUAAAACUACAGAUUUUGGGAACCGGUUUAACUUAGUUAAAUUAAAUCCAGCGAAGAAACGUUCUGCCAUUGAGGCAGUUGAAUCAGGACUCAUAUUUUCCCAAACCUACAAAGAAUGACAGAUGACACCAUGAAGUGUUCAAGAUGCAGAUGUUCCUAUGUUGGAAGAUAUCAAAACAUGAAAAAAAGAAGGAAGGAAGGAAGGAAGGAAGGAAGGAAGGAAGGAAGGAAGGAAGGAAGGAAGGAAGGAAGGAAAAAAGAUUGCAGAAAAGUGAAAGAGGAAAAGGCUGAGUCUCCAGGAAUUGGUUUUGUCCUUUAUAUCAUUGUUAGAGGAGCAAGUUUUGAUAUACAAUGCGUUUUUCUUCUUCUUGUGCUUCCUAUGAAAAUGUGUACAUAGUACAUAUACCAGAGAGAAUUCAACAUUUUAUACAUUUGAAGGCAUUCAGAGAUUGGUAAUUUGGAAAAAAGUUAUAAUGGCACAAUAUCAAGGCUUUUGAUGCUACUGAAUGGAUAUAUACAUAGACAUGACAUAUAUAUGUGGGUAUGUGACUGUGUAUAUGUAUGUAUAUAUACAUAUACACACACGUGUCUGUAUGUAUGUAUAUAUAUAUGUAUAUACUGUAUAUAAUCAUAUUUUAUAUAUAAGAAAUAUAAUAUGAGCAUGAAAUAGUAAAAAUGGAUAGACAAAUGGGAGACAGAAGGUCAAAAUGUAAGCCCUAUCUUCAAAAGUUUUCAAGCAAUAAAAUACAACGAAACCAAUAAAACCUGCAGAAUAAACAAAGCACACUUUAGAAAGUUUUAUGGGGGAAAAAAUUGGCCGUGGCAGAUUAUAAUGUCUUUGGGAAAUCUGUUACACAACAGCCCACCCAAUGAACAAAUACAUUCAAUUCUGGAAUGAUCAGGAUCCAAGUAAAGUAAAGCUUAAAAAAAAGAACAAUUGCAUUGCAAAGGCUCUUAAAGACAAGGAGAACUUUGGCCCCAGGUGCUGCACAUGAAGCAGGUCUAAAUUAAUAUUAAGAAAAGGAGGCUGGAUGUGCCAAAGACUGGGGCAGGCACUAGAUACUAUGUGUGUGACCUAGGCUGAAAGGGGAAUGAGUUCCUCUAAAAGUGAAAACAACAACAACAACAACAACCCAGUAACCAUGGGCUUCUCCCCAUCUGGCAGCUUUGAGUGUUAGAGGCAGUUUAAAUACAGAUUGUUUAUAUGACGUAGAGCAGGGGUUCUCAACCUUGGCAACUUUAGAAGCUGGCUGAGGAAUUCUGGGAGUUGAAGUCCACAAGUCUUAAAGUUGCCAAGGUUGAGAACCCCUGACGUAGAGGGUGGGAAGUCCAAGUACCAUCAAGAUCCUUUGGUGUUUGUUGUGAAUGGACACCUGGAAAUACACUGAUGUUUAUUUCUUCCUUAGUCCUUGGAAUUAAUUCCCUUAAUGUAAUCAAAAGGCCAUUUGCUUCCCAUUUCUCUUUAUACUUGUAAGCUCAUAAAGCACAAAGUAUAGACCCUAUCUCCUACUAUUUAGCAAGACUGAACAUGCAUCAGUACAAAUGAGCCCAGAUAAUCCAGGCUCUUCUGAUUUUUUUUUUAAAAAAGAUUUCUCCCCAAACCUAGCCUGUCCAGAUACCAGUGGGUGUUUAUCGCAGUUUGGACAGCUCUGUUGAUUUGGGCUCCUUGGAGAGUGGCUGAAUUAGCAACAGU